AGUGAACGCUGGCGGUAGGCCUAACACAUGCAAGUCGAACGGCAGCACAGUAAUAUCUUGCUCUUACGGGUGGCGAGUGGCGGACGGUUGAGGGAUACUUCGGAAUCUACUUUUUCUUGGGGGAUAACGUAGGGAAACUUACGCUAAUACCGCAUUCGACCUACGGGUGAAAGCAGGGGAGCUUCGGACCUUGCGCGAUUGAUUGAGCCGAUGUCGGAUUAGCUAGUUGGCGGGGUAAAGGCCGACCAAGGCGACGAUCCGUAGCUGGUCUGAGAGGAUGAUCAGCGACAAUAGAAGUGAGACGAGGUCGAGAAUCCUACGGGAGGCAGCAGUGGGGAAUAUUAGAGAAUGGGGGGAAGAAUGAUGCAGCAGUGACGUGUGGUGAAAGAAGGACUUCGGGUUGUAGAGACCUUUUGUUGGGAAAGAAGAAGAGCAGGUUCAUAGCCCGCUGGUUGAACGGAGCCGAAAGAAUAAGCACCGGCUAACUACGUG
rnacentral:rRNA from 1 species